CCUACGGGUGGCUGCAGUGGGGAAUAUUGGACAAUGGGGGGAACCCUGAUCCAGCCAUGCCGCGUGUGUGAAGAAGGCCCUCGGGUUGUAAAGCACUUUCAGUGAGGAAGAACGCCUGGUGGUUAAUACCCAUCGGGAAAGACAUCACUCACAGAAGAAGCACCGGCUAACUCCGUGCCAGCAGCCGCGGUAAUACGGAGGGUGCGAGCGUUAAUCGGAAUUACUGGGCGUAAAGCGCGCGUAGGUGGCUUGAUAAGCCGGUUGUGAAAGCCCCGGGCUCAACCUGGGAACGGCAUCCGGAACUGUCAAGCUAGAGUGCAGGAGAGGAAGGUAGAAUUCCCGGUGUAGCGGUGAAAUGCGUAGAGAUCGGGAGGAAUACCAGUGGCGAAGGCGGCCUUCUGGACUGACACUGACACUGAGGUGCGAAAGCGUGGGUAGCAAACAGGAUUAGAUACCCUGGUAGUC
rnacentral:rRNA from 1 species